ensembl:snRNA U2 U2 spliceosomal RNA
AUCGUUUCUCGGCCUUUUGGCUAAGAUCAAGUGUAGAAAUACUUAUAAAUUUACAUACUUUACAGCAGUGUGUGAGAACCUGAAGUUUCCUGACAUCUGAAGAUGAUAAUUUUUCAUACAUUUCCUAAUUUUAUGGACAAAAAUUAUCUCCCU